UACAGAGGGUGCAAGCGUUGUUCGGAAUUACUGGGCGUAAAGCGCGUGUAGGUGGCGAUGUAAGUCGGGUGUGAAAUCCCUUGGCUCAACCAAGGAAGUGCACUCGAUACUGGGUCGCUUGAGUACUGGAGGGGAUGGCGGAAUUCCCGGUGUAGAGGUGAAAUUCGUAGAUAUCGGGAGGAACACCGGUGGCGAAGGCGGUCUUCUGGACGGUGACUGACGCUGAGGCGCGAAAGCGUGGGGAGCAAACGGG
rnacentral:rRNA from 1 species